rnacentral:rRNA from 1 species
ACUUAAAUUGAAGAGUUUGAUCAUGGCUCAGAUUGAACGCUGGCGGCAGGCCUAACACAUGCAAGUCGAGCGGUAGCACAGAGAGCUUGCUCUCGGGUGACGAGCGGCGGACGGGUGAGUAAUGUCUGGGAAACUGCCUGAUGGAGGGGGAUAACUACUGGAAACGGUAGCUAAUACCGCAUAACGUCGCAAGACCAAAGUGGGGGACCUUCGGGCCUCAUGCCAUCAGAUGUGCCCAGAUGGGAUUAGCUAGUAGGUGGGGUAACGGCUCACCUAGGCGACGAUCCCUAGCUGGUCUGAGAGGAUGACCAGCCACACUGGAACUGAGACACGGUCCAGACUCCUACGGGAGGCAGCAGUGGGGAAUAUUGCACAAUGGGCGCAAGCCUGAUGCAGCCAUGCCGCGUGUGUGAAGAAGGCCUUCGGGUUGUAAAGCACUUUCAGCGGGGAGGAAGGCGUUAAGGUUAAUAACCUUGGCGAUUGACGUUACCCGCAGAAGAAGCACCGGCUAACUCCGUGCCAGCAGCCGCGGUAAUACGGAGGGUGCAAGCGUUAAUCGGAAUUACUGGGCGUAAAGCGCACGCAGGCGGUCUGUCAAGUCGGAUGUGAAAUCCCCGGGCUCAACCUGGGAACUGCAUUCGAAACUGGCAGGCUAGAGUCUUGUAGAGGGGGGUAGAAUUCCAGGUGUAGCGGUGAAAUGCGUAGAGAUCUGGAGGAAUACCGGUGGCGAAGGCGGCCCCCUGGACAAAGACUGACGCUCAGGUGCGAAAGCGUGGGGAGCAAACAGGAUUAGAUACCCUGGUAGUCCACGCCGUAAACGAUGUCGAUUUGGAGGUUGUGCCCUUGAGGCGUGGCUUCCGGAGCUAACGCGUUAAAUCGACCGCCUGGCGAGUACGGCCGCAAGGUUAAAACUCAAAUGAAUUGACGGGGGCCCGCACAAGCGGUGGAGCAUGUGGUUUAAUUCGAUGCAACGCGAAGAACCUUACCUGGUCUUGACAUCCACAGAACUUUCCAGAGAUGGAUUGGUGCCUUCGGGAACUGUGAGACAGGUGCUGCAUGGCUGUCGUCAGCUCGUGUUGUGAAAUGUUGGGUUAAGUCCCGCAACGAGCGCAACCCUUAUCCUUUGUUGCCAGCGGUCCGGCCGGGAACUCAAAGGAGACUGCCAGUGAUAAACUGGAGGAAGGUGGGGAUGACGUCAAGUCAUCAUGGCCCUUACGACCAGGGCUACACACGUGCUACAAUGGCAUAUACAAAGAGAAGCGACCUCGCGAGAGCAAGCGGACCUCAUAAAGUAUGUCGUAGUCCGGAUUGGAGUCUGCAACUCGACUCCAUGAAGUCGGAAUCGCUAGUAAUCGUAGAUCAGAAUGCUACGGUGAAUACGUUCCCGGGCCUUGUACACACCGCCCGUCACACCAUGGGAGUGGGUUGCAAAAGAAGUAGGUAGCUUAACCUUCGGGAGGGCGCUUACCACUUUGUGAUUCAUGACUGGGGUGAAGUCGUAACAAGGUAACCGUAGGGGAACCUGCGGUUGGAUCACCUCCUUACCUUAAAGAA